CGCCGGCGCGGAUGUGGAUGCGGUUUCUUCGCAGAUUUUCGAACCUUCCGCCGAGCGGGGCCACGCGCGCACCUAUUCGCAGAUUCUUCUGACCAUCGGCAAGAAGGGCGACCUGACCUCGAAGGUUCGCGAGAGCCUUGUCUCAAUCGGCAGGUUGAUAUCUUUCGUCACUGUCGAGACCGAUGCCGGACGCUGGAGCAAGGAGCAGAAGGCGCAAUUCAAGACCUUGCAGCGCGACGUGUCAUCAUUGACGGAUCACGCUUCCUAUCUGUCGAACAAGAUCACCUUCGUGCUCGACGCCAUGCUGGGUGUUGUCA
rnacentral:misc_RNA from 1 species